rnacentral:lncRNA from 1 species
UUUUUUGGAUUUGCAGGUGAAGAGAUCGAAGAGAGGAGGAAGCAUUACAGCCCCCCCCUCACGCUGCCUGAUUUUCGGGGCGGCGCGUGAGCCCACGCGCCGCCAGUCACGGCGGUGCGUGGGGUCCACGCGCCGCUACUGUUCAGGCAGCCCAGAACUGUUCCUGAAGGGUUUCCCAGUACUGUUAUGGAUUGUUUAGGGACCAUUUUGUAAAUUUUAAAGUUUUAAUGUAAUUUUUGUUUAUUUAUUUUAAAUUUAUAGUAUUGAAUGUAAAAGAAAAAAAAAGAAGAAAAGAAAAGAAAAUAAUAAUAACAAAGGGGAUGUGUGUGUUGGUGUAUUUU